GGGGAAUUAGCUCAGUUGGGAGAGCGCAUGACUGGCAGUCAUGAGGUCAGGGGUUCGAAUCCCCUAUUCUCCA
rfam:Olsenella umbonata strain DSM 22620 genome assembly, chromosome: I